AUUCAGUUUGUAUGAGAGGAGGUAGUUACAAGUUAGAAAGCAAACAAAAGUUUUUUAGAUUCCAAACCCUGAAAUUUAAGUGGAUGAAUUUGUUACAAGGAAAAAAAAUAAAAGUCUUACUCAACUAUUUCUGUUUCCUAAUGACAAACUUUAUAUCAUAUUUGAAAGUAAGCCUAUCUUUGGAAAAAUGAGUACAAGUCUCCACUAAGAAACAAACUAAAUGUAAAAGAAAACAAAGGGAAACUGGAGUGAAGCUGGAACAGUAGCAGUGGAGUAAGCUACUCUAUGGAGAUGAUGAAACAACUGCUCUGGACUCUAUAGCAGGACCAGCUGCUGUCUCAUAUAGGCAGUCCCCAUAGCACAGCCAGCUGAUGGCACUGAAUGGUAGGAAGAGGAGAAUCCUGUGGCAAAAGGCAUUCUGUUUGACUGCUGCAAGCUCUACAGUAUCUAGCAGAACUUCGAGAUCUUCCCAAAAUAUCUGGUCAGAACUCCAGGAUUUUCCUUGUGGAGGAAUUCAGUUUCACACCUUGGCUUCAUUAGCACUUCCAUGUUGGACAUCACUUUGUCAGACUUUUCCUCUACUGCCAUUUAUCACGUGGCAACAAAGUGUAACAGAAUAUUGGCAGGAAGGUAUCGAUCUCUAAUGACAUACCACCAACAUCCACCUCUGACGUUGUGAGCAACAUAAUAAAAUAAGAGGCAUUACUUUUGGAGCAGCCCCCUUUCUAGAAUGCUUCAGGAUAACUUAAGAGAGUUUAUUAAGAACAAACAUCAUUAAGCAAUGUAACAGAUUUGUGAGGGUGCUACCUAAAGUGAUACACAACAGAAAUCAACAGGAAAAGUAAAUGAGAAUAAAGGACCAGAGAAAUUUAUCCUUGAAAAUUUCCUCAUUGCGUAUUGUAAGGAAAAUUUCAAUACAUCAUUUAUUAAUAUUCAAGCUAAGCAAAAAUAUCAUUAGAAAUGCAUUGAAGGUCUUAGGCCAUACUUGGCUGCAAGGAAAUGCUUAUGUGACUUAUGAGCCUUAUAAUGAGUAAUCGAGAGAAAACUGUUUUUAUCUUCAGUUUGUUUUUCUGCUUCCCUCUAUUAGAAUCAUAAAUUAAAGUAAUGUAGCUCCAAAUAUUUCAAAAAUGUCAACUUCUUCACAGCUGUCUGAGUAUUCAGAGGUGAAGUGGGCCAUACAAAAAAGCUUUUCUGGGUAAUCAGAUAUUUCCUUUGAAAAGUGCUAUAGAUAUGUUGCAAAAUGUUUGGUGACUUCACUGUUCAAUUUGAAAGGUGACUACUCAGUAAUACCUUUCUUUUUCAUGUGGUCUGUCCUUCAAGAGUGGGAUGGGAAAAGGAGGUCUGUAAAACUCCUUCAUGUCUAUCAUAAUGUCCUUUACUUCUUUUUUCUUUUUCUUUUUGCUUUAAAUCUUUCCUCCUCUCCUUUUCAUCUCAUUCAGAAAAAUGUAUAAUUCCUAUUUUCUGGAAAACAAGAGAGCAUCCAGAAAGAAAUCUAUGUGAUGGGAUACAGCCUUGGGCAG
ensembl:lncRNA